UACGAAGGGGGCUAGCGUUGCUCGGAAUCACUGGGCGUAAAGGGUGCGUAGGCGGGUUGGUAAGUCCGUGGUGAAAUCUCCGAGCUUAACUCGGAAACUGCCGUGGAUACUAUCAAUCUUGAAUAUCGUGGAGGUAAGCGGAAUAUGUCAUGUAGCGGUGAAAUGCUUAGAUAUGACAUAGAACACCAAUUGCGUAGGCAGCUUACUACACGAUCAUUGACGCUGAGGCACGAAAGCGUGGGGAGCAAACAGG
rnacentral:rRNA from 1 species